rnacentral:rRNA from 1 species
UGAGCAAUCUGCCCUUCUCAUCGGAAUAAGCGUUGGAAACGACGUCUAAUGCCGAAUACGACCUCCUUUCGCAUGAUCGGUGGUGGAAAGCUCCGGCGGAGAAGGAUGAGCUCGCGGCCUAUCAGCUAGUUGGUGUGGGUAACGCCACCAAGGCGACGACGGGUAGCCGGCCUGAGAGGGUGACCGGCCACACUGGGACUGAGACACGGCCCAGACCUCCGUACGGGGA